rnacentral:rRNA from 1 species
CGGAGGGUGCGAGCGUUAUCCGGAAUUACUGGGUUUAAAGGGUGCGUAGGCGGCCAAGUAAGUCAGGAGUGAAAGUUUGCGGCUCAACCGUAAAAUUGCUUUUGAUACUGCUUAGCUAGAAUCAGGAUGAGGUUAGCGGAAUGUGGCAUGUAGCGGUGAAAUGCAUAGAUAUGCCAUAGAACACCAAUUGCGAAGGCAGCUGGCUAGACCUGUAUUGACGCUGAGGCACGAAAGCGUGGGGAGCGAACAGGAUUAGAUACCCUGGUAGUCCACGCCCUAAACGAUGCUCACUCGACGUAUGGCACUAGAUGUUGUGCGUCCAAGGGAAACCGUUAAGUGAGCCACCUGGGGAGUACGACCGCAAGGUUG